ACCCGUUGCGAGCGUAUGUGCGCGCGCGGCGGCGGAGCGCAGCGCGCCCGCCGCUCCUGGGUGCUGGGCGGCGUGCGGCGGGGGGUAUGAGCCUGUCGGCCUCCGGCGGCCUCUCUCGCUCCGGCCGCCGCCGCCGCCAUGUCCGCCACCAUCGAGCAGGAGUUCCAGGAGAUCGAUGCCACUAACGACUGGCAGGCACGUUAUCUGGAAAUUCGACAUAAAUCCAGUGACUACCCUCACAGAGUUGCAAAAUAUCCAGAAAACAGAAAUCGAAACAGAUACAGAGACGUUAGUCCGUAUGAUCAUAGUCGUGUAAAACUGCAGAACACAGAAAAUGACUAUAUUAAUGCCAGCCUAGUGGUCAUAGAGGAAGCCCAGAGAUGCUAUAUUUUAACACAGGGUCCACUACCUAAUACAUGUUGUCAUUUUUGGUUGAUGGUAUGGCAACAAAAAACCAAAGCAGUUGUCAUGCUGAACAGAAUUGUUGAAAAAGAAUCGGUGAAGUGUGCGCAAUAUUGGCCAACAAAAGAAGAGGAAGUUAUGACAUUCAAGGAAACAGGGUUCCGUGUGAGGCUAGUAUCUGAAGACAUCAAAUCCUAUUACACAGUGCAUCUACUACAGUUAGAAAAUAUCAGCAGUUGUGAGUCCAGGAUGAUAUUUCAUUUCCAUUAUACUACGUGGCCAGACUUUGGAGUUCCUGAAUCUCCAGCAUCAUUCCUGAACUUCUUGUUUAAAGUCAGAGAAUCUGGUUCACUAAGUCCUGAGCAUGGACCAGCUGUAAUUCACUGUAGUGCAGGGAUAGGGCGAUCUGGCACGUUUUCAUUAGUAGACACUUGUCUUGUUCUGAUGGAAAAAAAGGACCCAUUCUCUGUAGAUAUUAAGAAAGUAUUACUGGAUAUGAGAAAAUAUCGAAUGGGACUUAUUCAGACUCCUGAUCAGCUAAGAUUUUCAUAUAUGGCUGUAAUAGAAGGAGCAAAAUUUAUAAUGGGGGAUUCAACUAUACAGAAAAGGUGGAAGGAGCUCUCUAAGGAGGACCAAGCGCCAAGUUCAGAGCAGUCUCCUCCACACCCAACCAAAAUAACCACAGAGAAGUACAAUGGAAACAGCAUAGGCCUAGAGAAACAAGAUCAAAUGGAGAAAAUAAAUACUGACUUGUCCAAUAGAGUUCAAGAUAUCACAGAUGGAAAUGUUGAAAGUACUGUCCGAAAACGGCUGCGAGAGGAUAGAAAAGCUAUCACAGCACAGAAGCUGCAGCAGAUGAAGCAGAAGCUAAAUGAAACUGAAAGAAAAAGAAAAAGGUGGUUAUAUUGGAAACCUAUUCUCACUAAGAUUGGGUUUGGUGCAUUGAUUUUAGUUGGAGCUUAUUGCUGGAAAAUGUAUUUUCAAGACCAUUCCUCGUAAGUAAACAAUAAGCCUGUCUGCUUUGGCAGAUAAUCUUGCUGCAAGUUAGUAGCUAGGGGCCUGACUUAAAGCAGUAAACUCUGCACCUGCAAUGGGUACAGAUUAUUAGAAACACACUAGAGAGGCGAUAUCAACUGAUCACAUGUCAACAUCUCAGGACUCUCCACUACAGGUACUUACGAAAGUGAACUGCUACCCCCAACAAAGUUGGUGUUUCUUUUUCAUUUAUAUGACCAGGUACAAACUUGCUGCAACUGUUUAUACACUUUUAAAAACGGUGUUAUACCGGAUCUCUUAGGCAAACCCUGAACUCAGAGGUUUAGCUACUGAAAGUUGACUGGGUUUUAAUUUACAUGCCUGACAUAAGCAAUAAACAGUGUUGUUAUCAUUUACAUUAUUAAUGCAAAGAAGUUAUCCUUAAGUGUGUGUAAUGUGUAAUGUACUAGCAACAUGAACAUAAACAUUUUAUAUUCUUACGACCUAGGAUAAAUAUAUUUUAUAAUUGCAUAUUUAAUCUUUUUGUAGUUUACUGUACUUUUAAAAGCUAAGUUUGUACACAUUUCUGACCAAAAAUAAUUUGAUUUUGAAAUUGUUUAUUAUAAUUUGUGCAUGAGAAUAAUAGCGCAACCAUUCCUCAUAUUUUGACCCAGAUUUCUGAUAUGAGCAGCUAUGGGGUCUCUAACAAUUUCUUUUCUGUUAAUUUGCAUUCCUUAUUUAUUUUUUUGUAGUUUUCAUUAUUUAAAUAAGGCUUGGAAAUUUGACUUUUUUUAAAGGCAUUUGCAAAGUUUGCCCCCACUGGAAAAGCAUACUGUUAAAUUGAUUAAUGUAUUCAGACUUCAGCUAUUGUUUGAAGCCCAGCAUUGUUAAAUUUCUGACAUUCCAUUAAAUGUGAAACGUAAUGUUUUGUGUGUCUAUAGAUUUUAAUUGCUACAAGGAUAAAACUCACACACUAGGAAUGGACGUAGAAAGUACAUCAAAGAAAAGUCUGACUUCCAAGGGUGGUUUUAAUUGAAAACAAAUGUUGGUAAUAUUUUCCUGUAUUUUUAGUUCUAUUAACCACAUUUAUAACUCUGAGGUGUAGAAGACCCACCUAAACUGCUUUUAAGGUCCUUUACCACUGUACUGAAGAGGCAUGAUAGUAAAACACUUUAUGAUCAGAAUUUUGGGAAUACUUAUGCUAAGGUCACUUUAAUAUUAAUGAAGCACACACCUUGCAGUAUGUGGACAAUGACAUUUUCUAAAUGGUACUUCAAUGCAAAUCACUUUCUACCCUUCUCUUUGAAUAGGGAGAUUGUGUGUGGCUCUGUCUGGCUUGCUUUCAGUCAUGUUGAGACUUAGUAACUUCUGCUGUUGGGCUGCAGUAUGAAACCUGGAUUUUUAUAUAUUCAACCAUUGCUUUGUUGGAUGAUAUUAGACAAGUCACUUUUUCUCUCUCUUGUUUACCUAGCCUAAUUUUGGGGUGGGGGAGGGAUGGAAGGGUGUGUUUUUGUAAAGCACUCCUUGGAUUUCCUGCUGAAAAAUACUCUGCUAGAUAACUAACUAACUCUGCUAGUUCCUCCAUCCAAAGAAAUUAACUUGAAAAGUUUCCAGUACUUUCAAGCCCAGUCGUAACAUGCCAGGCAUGGGGCCCAAAUGGUCUGACAUUUACUGCAGAAAGCUGAGUAUACACUUUGCAAUUCUUAUUUCACAAUAGCUAAUACUAUUUUGGACUGUACUGUUUAUAUAGUAAAUAAAUGUGUAAGUGUCCAGAUAAGGAAGAGAAAAAGACGAAAAAAACAAAUGCAGUUUUUCAAGAGAGAGAAUUCUAGGUUUUAGAGGCAUUAUUCAUUAAAAGAUGAUUUGUAUUGUUGUGUUACUGACCAGCCAUGGAGCUGUGACAGCGAAAGGACUUAUUAAUUGCUGUGGUGCAGUAAGGGUAGGCAGCCUAAGUAUUUUAGGACAGGUUGCACUGUUAACAAUGGAAACUUUCAGUUAGGAAGAGUCUGAUAGAAAAUUCUUUUUUGAAUUGUGAAGACUGAGGAUUUUUCAUUAUCAGCUCUACUGAUAUCCACUGUAAAUGUACAUGCCUUAUAAAGUUAUUUUGGUUAUGAAAAACCAUAUGGAAUAUAAUAGAGUACAAAUAAAUAUUCCAGAUUUUAAGUGCUUAAAAGCAACUAAGGAAAAAAAUGCCAGAGAACUGCACUGAAAUCCCACAAUUUUUUGUUUCCUUUCUCUGCGUGAAAGGGAUUUUCCUGGGCCACCAGCAUCCUACUGACAUUAAGCUGUAAUUAUGUGUUGUCAAGUCAAAACUUGAGUUUUAUUUUUUCUUAAUUCUGUCCUCUAAACUUAGGCUUUUUUUGUUCUCCAAAUCCUGAGCAGUCAUUCUUCUUUUCUUGGGGAUGGGAGAAGGGGGUGGUAUGUGGGAUGCUUAUGUUGUGUCACAGUGUUACCUUCUUGAUACGGUAAAGUAGGGCUUGCAUAAUAAACAGUUAAUCUGUAAGAUUCUGAUCUGGCUACAUCACUAGAUGUAUCUCCAGAUUCUAAUUGUUAAUAAUUUCAGAACCCUGGAUCAAUAGAACUGUUGCACAGAACUAUUUUGAACAGUGAAUAGUGUGUUACUGUGUGGGAGUGGGAAGGUGAAAUUAAGCAUUAGCUUUCUUAGCAUAUUCUCGGAGAUGAUUUGGAUGAAACUAUUUUCUGGACCAUCAGUAGCUGAGUCAGGACAAAAUUUGCCCUCUUGCCUUCAAUACUUCAAAAAGGUUUGAGAGACUUUUAAUUGCAAACUGAGCUGUGUGAUAUUGUUAGCCUGUAGAAUUUGAACUUAAGGCAGCUUUAAACAACUGGAUGUUAAAUAAGAACAGAUGUGGGUUAAAAUUAAGGUCUGUCAAUCCCUGGGACCUAUGUUUUAGGAGAUGUGUAAAAACGGGGAGAAAAAAAUCCGCGUUUCUAGGAAGCUGCAGAUUGGAACUAUGCUGCUUCUGAAGUGCUGUUGAACUUCUGAUUCAAAAUCCUGCAGCGAUUUCCACUCUCCACUUGCCACCCAUUCUGGAAAUAGCGUACCAGUUUGCAUAGCAGACUACUUAAAAUUUGACCGGUUAAAAGUGUUGUUAAAAGUGACUGUCAAAGCAUUGUACAAAUUGUGCUCAUCUCAGAAAGCCAUGGCUAACAAACAUUUAGACCUUAGUUGCAAGUGGUUUGCAAGGUUUGGAAUUAGUCCUUUAGGUUUUCUGUUUGAUUAUAUUGUGUUUCUGAAGAAUUACAAGUUUAUGGAAGUAGGAUGUUACAAGUGAAACCUACCUAAUUUCAUUAUAUCUUGGGGGGAAGGGGUCUGUUUCCUUAUAUUGACCUAUAUUCAAGUGAAUAGGGAAAAAGCGUGCGUGCAUGUAUGUGUGACUGGAGUGGCCGACUGUCGGGGAUUAAAAAGCCUGGUUAGCUUUAAGUUUAAUUAAUGCUAACCAAAUUAUUUAGCUGGCUGUUUGACAUUGUUGUUGAACCUGAGACUUGACUGCGUGAGAGGUUAACGAUGACGGAAGAGGAACUCUUCUUCGGGGUCAAGUGGCUUAAGUCGUAGGAUGAAAUUUGCAGAAUUGACAUAACAAACUGUCUUCCUGUUUUCUUGCAAAGUUUUAGAUCAGUCUUUCAUUCUUAUGUACUAACAAUAAAUAUGUUCAAAAUUGCACCUCUGUCUGAGUCUUUAUUUAAAUUGGAAGGAUUCAUAUUUGGAAGAAUUCUUUAAUGCUUUAACUUAAACCUGCUAUAAGUCAAGUGGUGUCUAUAGAACUUUCAAGCGUUUUGCUGGUAGUUCCCUGGGGAGUUUGGUGCUGUAAAUACCAAGGUCUUUCUGUAUGUUCCUAACCUUUCCUAAGAACAAAAUGUUCAAUGUUGGAAUGUCCUCCUUAGUACAAGAAAAACUUGCUUAGAAACGUUUAUUUCCAUGCCAUGUUGCCAGGAUUGGCCUACAAAGCCAUGAAAAAUUUUGAUUUUGAGAUGCUGUCUUCUAUUCCCACUAAGGUUGAAGAUGAUUUCUCUGCAGUGCUUAUGCAUAGAUGCAUGGGUAAUGGCUUGCUGGAUUGAGACUUACACUUGAAGCUCUCCAGGAAGUAAUGUGCCUUACAUUAUACUAUGGAAAUACCUUCUGAAAAAGAAACAGCUUUCCAGAAGCACUUGCUAUGCACAAAAAUUAAUCAGUAGUUGCUACAGUGAAUGUGUGAGAAGCUGCUUUGUGUUGUAUAGCCGAGACUGACUGACACCUAAGCCUUCAAGACUUGUGAAUAUUCUGCAGCUAGAAACUGCAAAUUAUUGACAUGCAAAGCAAGACAUGAGCCCCUCUUCGGGAACAAAACUGAGGUCUAAUAAGUACCAAGAUGACCUCAAUUAUCUGUUUACAGCGUAAACUACAUCCAGGGGAUGAAGAAUACCACCAGCAUGCUACUUUGCAAAACAAAAUACUUUGCUGUCAUGUUUUUAUAAUACCUGUAUUAAUGUAGAAAGAUGUAAGAGAAAUAAAUUAGAAAAUACUUUGUUUUGUACUGCCAUUCUUAUGUAUUUUUCUAUGUUUUUGGCAGCAUUAAAUAUUUUUUUAAAUUGACAA